GAUGAACGCUGGCGGCGUGCCUAAUACAUGCAAGUCGAGCGAACGGACGAGAAGCUUGCUUCUCUGAUGUUAGCGGCGGACGGGUGAGUAACACGUGGAUAACCUACCUAUAAGACUGGGAUAACUUCGGGAAACCGUAGCUAAUACCGGAUAAUAUUUUGAACCGCAUGGUUCAAAAGUGAAAGACGGUCUUGCUGUCACUUAUAGAUGGAUCCGCGCUGCAUUAGCUAGUUGGUAAGGUAACGGCUUACCAAGGCAACGAUGCAUAGCCGACCUGAGAGGGUGAUCAGCCACACUGGAACUGAGACACGGUCCAGACUCCUACGGGAGGCAGCAGUAGGGAAUCCUCCGCAAUGGGCGAAAGCCUGACGGAGCAACGCCGCGUGAGUGAUGAAGGUCUUCGGAUCGUAAAACUCUGUUAUUAGGGAAGAACAUAUGUGUAAGUAACUGUGCACAUCUUGACGGUACCUAAUCAGAAAGCCACGGCUAACUACGUG
rnacentral:rRNA from 1 species